UUACUCCACACCGCGCGCACUGAUACCAGAAACACUGCUCCACCUUAAUUAAUAAAGUACUUCAGUGUAUUUCAUUGUUAUGUUCAUAACGAAGUCUAUAUUAAAAUAAUUUAAAAAAAAAUAACAGGAGAGUUUUAAAGUGGCUUAGGCUAUUGUGCAAACUUUAUUUAUCUUUACCACACGCCAAACUAUUAACAUUGUCAGCAUUAAAAGUUAUAAUUACUGCAUUCUGGUCUGAAAAUUUUGUUUGUGAUGAAAAUACCAGUACACUUUCGUCAAUAUUUUAUCUACAGAUCGAUGCAUUUCUUACAGAUUUCUGCUUAUUCAAAAUCAGAGACAGAUGUAGAAGCACUGUAAGAUUACUUUUUUAAAUGCAUUACUGGGAAAGCGACUGCGUAUGAAUGUGCUGAAUCUGUUUAAAUAAUGCUAUAACCCGACAAUAUUGAUAGUAACAUGAUAGUCAAAUGUGUGGGUUACAUGUAAAUUAAUAUGGAGUUAAAGGGGGGGUGAAAUGCUCGUUUUCACUCAAUAUCCUGUUAAUCUUGAGUACCUAUAGAGUGGUACUGCAUCCUUCAUAACUCCAAAAAGUCUUUAGUUUUAUUAUAUUCAUAAGAGAAAGACAGUCUGUACCGAUUUUUCCCGGAAAAACACGACUGGCUGGAUGCGUGACGUUUGGGCGGAGCUAAAGAAUCACGAGCGCCAGUAGGCUUUUGCGUUGAGAGCAUGUGGAAGCUGUGACAUUACCGUGAGGGAAAAACCAUCAUCCAAAACAAACCAUGGCUUACAGUCAGAUUCAGCCAUUUAUUUAUGAUCCAGAAUCAGAUCCAGAGGCUGAAACUGAACAAGAGCAGCAGCAGCAUGGACUCGCUCCGAGCGGGGCUCGAACCCGGGUCUCCGGCAUGGGAGGGGACGCACUAACAAGGAGGCAGAGAUAUUUUAAGCAGUUUUACUCACCGCCUGCGGUUCCAACACACGAUCGUGACCCUUUUUCGUUGGGAUUGCAUCAUCCUUAAGAAAUAAACGAUACGCAAAUCCACAUAAUAAAAAAUAAAAUAAAAUAAUAAAAAAACAAAUAAAUAGGUAAGGAAUGACAAUAUACAAAUUGACAAUUGUAGGCAGGUAUUUUACAAAAAGCAGUUAUGUAUGUACAGGUUUGUUAUGUGCAAAAAUUUAAGUGUACACUAAGUAUGUGUGUUAGAUAAAUAAAUGUAUGUGUAUAUAAAUAUAAAGUGUAGUGUGUUCCACAGUUAUUAUCAAUUGUUCAUUAGAUGGAUUGCCUGAGGGAAGAAACUGUUCCUGUGUCUGGACGUUCUGGUGCUCAGUGCUCUGUAGCGUCGACCAGAUGACAACAUUUCAAAGAGGGAGUGUGCUGGUUGUGAGGUGUCCAGAGUGAUUUUGCCAGACCUAUUGUUCACUCUGGAUGAGUACAGUUCUUGAAUAGAAGGGAGGGUUGUACCGAUGAUUCUCUCAGCAGUCCUGACUACCCUCUGUUUUAACCAGAGGUCAAAAGCGCCCCCCCCCUCCCCCUUAGGAAUUUCAGUCUGGUUCUGCUAGGUGGGGGAAGUCAAUCAAAGGAUCUUGUGUAGUACUGGUUUUACAUGUGAUGUCCGGCAUUGCAUCUCAAUUACUUGCCCCAAAUUUGACAAUCUCUUCUCCGAAUUGAAAUUGUCAAUAUUUGUUCUAAUGGUGUUAAUGUCGAAAUCUGUUCUGUGAAAGAGUUGCUUGGUUGGUUAACUUGUUACUGACUUGUGGCACUAGGGCUGAUUUGUGACCUCCUGUUGCCUUCCUGAGGAAUUUGGCUCAUGUUUCAACCACAGUCCUGAUCGACUCUUUAAUUUGUCUGGUUCGGGUCAGAUACGCUACAAGAGUGAUAUGCAUCCUUUAUUGUGGUGUAACAGUGAUCCAAUAUAUUACUGUCUCUAUUGGGACAUGUAACUUGCUGUCUGUAUUUUGGCAGUUCACAGGAGAGAUUGGCCUUAUUGAAGUCCCUGAGAAUGAUUAAAACAGAGUCCGGAUGUUGUUGUUCUGUCUCUGUGAUCUGAUCAAUGAGUUUCUGUAAAGCCAGGCUUAUGUGCACUUGCGGAGGAAUGUAAACACUCACCAGAAUGAACGAGUGAAGCUCCCGUGGCAAAUAGAAUGGUUUGCAGUUCACAAACAGCAUUUCUAGAUCAGGACAGCACAUCUUCUUUAACACAAUUACAUCUGUACACCAGCGUUCAUUGAUGUAAAAGCAUGUCCACGAUCCACUCUAAACAGCUGAAAGCUCGGCAGAUGGAGCAUGCUGUUCGGUAUGGUGUCAUUCAGCCAGGAUUAUGUGAAACACAGAGCAGCAGAGUGUGAGAAAUCUUUAUUUGUCCGAGAGAGCAGAAGGAGUUUGUCCAUUUCGUUGGGUAGAUAGCAGAGAUUUGCCAGAUGGAUGCUAGGCAGCAGUGUUCGAAAUCCGUGCUUCCUGAGUCUGAAGAGCUCCAGAGGUGAGGUAGAUAGUUACCAAUAUAAAUAUCUGCCAGUAUUUGACAGGUGCACAACAGAAUACACUUUUAUGUAUUGUGCUUUCAACUUUAUACUUAUCUAUAAAGUAGAAAAAGACAUUGCUUUGGGCCGGACAGAUCAUCAGCAACAGAUGAGGGGAAAUUGAUUUAUAUAAUUUCUUGGCAUAGCUUAGGGAAAAGAUGAAGUGUGUAGGUGCUGAUUAGCCUGACUAACCUUAAAUUAAAAGUAUUUUUAUGCGAUUUUUUAUUGUAGUUUUAUUUUAAUGUAUGGAGACAUAAUACCAACCCAAAAUAUACAGAAAAACAAACAAACAAACAAACAACAACAACAACAACAACAACAAAAAAACAGCUUAUAUAAAGGUUAGAAAUUGAUUCAUAUUUCAGUGAGUAAAAUAAGUAUUUAAUCCCCAAGCAAAACAUGAGUUGGUGCAGAAACACUUGUUGGCAAGCACAGAUGUAACACAUUUCUUCUAGUUGGUCACCAGGUUUGCACAAAUCCCAGGAUGGAUUUUGGUCCACUCCUCUCUACAGAUAUUCUCUAAAUCCUUAAGAUUAUUUAGCUGUCAUUUGGCAACUCGAAGUUUCAGCUCCCUCCACAGAUUUUCUAUAGGAUUGAGGUCUGAAGACUAGGCUUGUCAUGAUCUCAGUGGGGGCUGAGGCUUUUUCUGUCCUGGAAUACAUGAUUUGGGUUUUGCUGGCUCGCCAGGUGUUUCACUAUUCCCACUAUGUUUUCUCCGACCCUCUUGUUAUCCCUGUUAACGUUUUCUCCCUCACCUGCACCCUGUCUUACUCUGAUUAUCUUCCCUUUAUCAUACCCUUGUGUUUGCUAUCUUGUGUCAGUCCGUAAGCGUUGCUAGAGUAAGCUUCUUGUUGCUUGUCAGUGUUUGCCUGACUCCGUUUUUGUAUCUUUCCUCUAUCUAGUCGACCUGCUGUUCCUGCUUUUUGUUUUUUCUCCCCCCUGCUUUGCCUCUCAUACUCAGUAGUCCACAUCAACCAGGCGGCUGUCUCGACUCACCUGUGCAUUGCCUUCGGACGCUUUGGCUUUCCAGCGCUGAUCUGCCACCUGUUCCUCGCUGCUGUGCGGCUAGUCCCCGUAGGGAUCUUCGAGCUGGCUGUUCAUGCAGAGUGCUGACUGUCUCGUGCUCCAACGGAUUAAGUCCUCUGAGUUUCUCAAUAAAACGUCUCAUUCAUUCUACCGCAGUUGGAUCCUGUUCCUUUCCCUGACAAGGCUACUCCAUGACCUUAAUGUGCUUUUUCUUGAGCCACUCCUUUGUUGCCUUGGCAGUAUGUUUUGAGGCAUUCUCAUGCAGGAAGACCCAUCUUCAGUGUUCUGGCUGAGGGAAGAUUGUACAGUACAUGGCCCUGUCCAUUUGCCCCUCAAUAUUGUGAAGUUAUCCUGUACCUUUAGCAGACAAAGCUCAAAUUAGAUCUCAUCUAACCACAGCACUUCAUCCAAAGCCAUCUUUGUACAUGCGCCUUCUUGAUCAGGGGGACCUUGCCGGCACUGCAGGAUUUCAGUCCAUUGUGACGUAGUGCGUUACCAAUAGGGCUGUGCCGAUCACGAUCGGCCGAUCGUUAUGUGCAUCUCGUCAGUAAAGCAGAAGCAAUGAAAAAUAAAUUACUUUGCCCUAUUUUUUUUAUUAUUAUUAUUUUUCUGGAUUUUUUGGUUAGUAUUCUGUCUCUAUCUGUUAAUAAACCUACCAUAACACUUACAGACCCUUCAUUUCUUUGCAAGUGAGCAAACUUAAAAAAAAAUUCCCACUGUAUUAAGCUGAUUACUAUCAUCAUUAGAAUCUCAUUCUCAGUGAUAUUUAACCUCAUUAAGUCAAUGCAGUGUGGAGGUUUAAAUGGUGCAUAGAAAUUUGGGCAUAACAGAACAGUCAUAUUUAUUUCAUUUUAUUUUUUAAUGUUUUAAAUAAUGUUGCUUCCUCUAGGGGUAAAAUUAAACAUUUGCCAUGGAUUAAUGAAUCCCUACAGGCACAGCCUGACAACAUGCUCAACAAGCUGAGAGAAGGUGGAAAAAACAUAAACUGCAUGUCCAUUAUAAGAUUUUCAGAGAAUCGUUACUGACAUUUCAGUAGGCCUCUAGACACAAGUAUUGCUCUGAUGUUAUCAAUCAACAUGAAUGAGCCUAAAAUUUUAUUCAAGGUCAUAAAUUGUUAUUAAUCCUAGGUAAACCAAGUACCAGAACCUUCUGUCCUGAAUUUUGAUUUCUUUUUUUUUUUUUCUUUUUUUUAUGAUAAAAUUGUUGGUUUACAUUCUAAAAUACAGAGGUUGCAGGUGGUUCCAUCUUUUGACCUGGCUGUGCCUUCUAGCACAGAAUGGAGUGAAUUCCAUUAUUUUACCCUUCCAGUUUUGGCGGAUAUUGUUGUAAAUCUUAAGACAUCCAAAGGUGAUGUCAUGUCACCUCAUCUUUUUCAGCAGAUUUUUGCUAGUGUAGGGACCACGGUGAUGAACCUCAUUAACAAAUGCCUUAUCCAGGGCACCUGCCCAGCUGAUUUUUAAGUAGUUAUGCGCCGAUCAUGGUUUUUUAAACAACAAACAAGAAAAAAGGAAAGUAUAUAUAAACAAGAUGUUUAUUUGGUAUUUAACCCUCUGGAGUUAAGGUGUAAAUCACACUAAUAUUCAUGGUCAAUAACGCCUACUUGCAUAUGCCCUUUAGAAAUAAAAAAUUGUCUUAGAAAAUUUAAAUCAAUCUAUUCAAUCAAUCUAUUCAUUCAUUCAUUCAAACUUUUAUUUAACCAAGAUAAAAACUCCUUGAGAUUAAAAAUCUCUUUUACAAGAGUGUCCUGGCAAGUGGCAGCAACGUAGUUUCAAAUAAAUACAUAGACAAUAACAAGUAAGUACAUAGACACACUUUCACUCAUAAUAUUCAAACAACAAUGGCAUCAUAAAAAAAAAAAAAAAAAAAAAAAAAACCUGGGUCCUAAAUCUAUUUAAAAACAAUGACAGACAGACUGGCUUUCUGCAAGGUCCUCUGAAAAGCAUAUAUAACAUGUCACCAUAGUGCAAAACAGACAAGAAUGUUGCAUUUACAAGUUGUUGUUUUUUUGCUUCAAAAGAUAAACAAGACUUGAUUCUAAAGAAGAAACCCAACCUCAACUUCAGUUUUUUAACCAAAUCUUGGGCAUGCAAUGUUAAAGUCAGUGACUGAUCAAUGGUAAUGCCCAAGUAUUUGUAAUUUGACACUUCUUCGAUUACUGUACCUGAAAGUGUACAAAUAGUUGGGACAUUGUUUUUUGUUGAUUUUCCCCGAGUGAAAGUCAUGACUUUUUAGAGUUUAGAAAGUAUUUAGAAAGUAGAGUUUAUUUAUAUUAUUGCAGAGGUUGUUUAUAUAAAUGCUAAAAAGAAGUGGCUCAAGGAUUGAGCCUUGAGGCACCUCUUUUAAAAUAUUUAGGAAGGCAUAAGUGAGGCCAUCUACUUGCACACAUUGUGUUCUCCCUGAUAGGUAACUGUUGAACCAUCCCACUGCUUGUUCUGAUAGUCCAAUAGAGAUCUUUCAGGGCCUUUCUUACUUCUGGUACGGUUACUGUCUUGAAAUGAAAUGGUUGAACUGAAAGUGACUGAUCAACUGGACAUGCAGUGGGAGAACCUGAAACUGGAUUACGUCGCGUUUCAUGAAGGGAACCAGCAGCAAUGAAAUGACUUUGCUCCAAUCCAGGAGAGGGAUCAUAUAACGCAGAUAAUG